rnacentral:rRNA from 1 species
AUUGAACGCUGGCGGCAUGCCUUACACAUGCAAGUCGAACGGUAACAGGUCUUCGGAUGCUGACGAGUGGCGAACGGGUGAGUAAUACAUCGGAACGUGCCCGAUCGUGGGGGAUAACGGAGCGAAAGCUUUGCUAAUACCGCAUACGAUCUACGGAUGAAAGCAGGGGACCGCAAGGCCUUGCGCGGACGGAGCGGCCGAUGGCAGAUUAGGUAGUUGGUGGGAUAAAAGCUUACCAAGCCGACGAUCUGUAGCUGGUCUGAGAGGACGACCAGCCACACUGGGACUGAGACACGGCCCAGACUCCUACGGGAGGCAGCAGUGGGGAAUUUUGGACAAUGGGCGCAAGCCUGAUCCAGCCAUGCCGCGUGCAGGAUGAAGGCCUUCGGGUUGUAAACUGCUUUUGUACGGAACGAAAAGACUCUGGUUAAUACCUGGGGUCCAUGACGGUACCGUAAGAAUAAGCACCGGCUAACUACGUG